rnacentral:rRNA from 1 species
AGAACGAACGCUGGCGGCGUGGAUAAGACAUGCAAGUCGGACGGGAUUACUUUUGGUAGCAAUACCGAAAGUGAUUCAGUGGCGAACGGGUGCGUAACACGUGGGCAAUCUACCGAGAAGUGGGGGAUAGCUCGCCGAAAGGCGAAUUAUACCGCAUGUGAUCAGAGGCGACAUCGCUUCGAAAUCAAAGGUGGCGCAAGCUACCGCUUUUUGAGGAGCCCGCGGCCUAUCAGCUUGUUGGUGAGGUAACGGCUCACCAAGGCUUUGACGGGUAGCUGGUCUGAGAGGACGACCAGUCACAC